rnacentral:lncRNA from 1 species
UUGGGGUCAAAAGUCUAAUUUGGCUUUAAAAUUAGAAAGAUUAUAUCAUAAGCAACAAGUCUACUAAGUUUCAAGUUGAUUGGACUUCAGCUUCAUCAAAAACUACCUUGACCAAUAACUUUAACCUGAACGGACGGACGCACAGACGAACGGAGCCACAGACCAGAAAACAUAAUGCCCCUCUACUAUCGUAGGUGGGGCAUAAAAAUCACUUGUACAAAUGAUUUAAAAUCACUGCACAGAGUGAUUUCUGUGAUGGUACAAAUGAUCUUACUGCACAGUGAUUUUUAAUAACAUGCAUGAAUCUGGAUGUUAGAUCAAUAAAAACAAAAAUGCAGACAUUGCAUUGAUGUACAAGAUCGUCAACAAUAAAGUAGCCAUCAACAAAGAAGUGUGCCUCCUAUUAGA